UUCUGUGUGUUUGGAUCGAGUAUGAGAGAUGUCAGAGGAGAUCUACAGAGAACCAUGAGGAGUUGGAGGAGGGAGUUCAGGAGUAUUCCCUGGAGUUACUACCCACCCUUCUCCCCUUUCUGGCUAAGGUAGGAGGCUGGUAUUCUAGCAUGCCCCAUGGAGCAAAUCUAACCCCCUUGUCUGCCUGGCAGGGGACACCAUCGCCAGCGUCAAUGGCCUGAAUGUGGAAGGCAUCCGGCAUCGAGAGAUUGUGGACAUCAUUAAGGCGUCAGGCAAUGUUCUCAGACUGGAAACUCUAUAUGGGACAUCAAUUCGGAAGGCAGAACUGGAGGCUCGUCUGCAGUACCUGAAGUUUCCUGCUAGCUUGUGACAGUGGGGUGGGGACUGUCUCUUGCAGCAAACCCUGUAUGAGAAGUGGGGAGAGUACAGGUCCCUAAUGGUGCAGGAGCAGCGGCUGGUGCAUGGUGAGUAGAUCCCGGGGUGUGAGGGGCCACUUGUUCUGCUACAGACACCCCAUCUGCGCUUCCCCCUCAGAACUGGCGGGUUCUAGUAAAGAACGGUUUACUAGUAAACCUCCACAGUAAAGCAAGGUUUGUUGAGCUACUACUACUUUGGGUACUGCCGCAGCCACAUUUCUGGUUAUUCUCACACUAGCCCUCUGCAGGUAAGUAACAGAUAGUGUCAUCUUCACUUUACAGAGGGGAACACCAGGGCUCAAAGAGUUUGUGUCAAUUAUUUCCGAGGCCCGUUUGUGCUAAGCGGCCCCCAUAAGGAUCUGAGUGAUAAUUCCUGAU
rnacentral:lncRNA from 10 species